CGGGAAUAUCGGCCAUUUUGGUAGCUACCAUGGAAACGUAAUAAAAAUCUGUUGCUACUCAGGUUUUCACGUCCUAAGAAGCUGGAUAACGUCUGUUUCUCGUUGGAAACGUCCGUUUCAGUGGGAACUGUUCUGGUGGAGAGCACAGAUUUACCUGGAUCAACACCUGAGGAGGAUGAGCACAUGCAGAACCUGAUGGACUUUUCUUUCUCUCUUCUAAAGAAACACCAGCAUCAGCAACACAACUGCUGGUGUAGGUUGCAGUCAGGUGUCUCCAUCGUGGUCUCAUUUGUUGAUGGUAAUUAUACCACGUGUUUGUAAUUACUAUGACAAUGAUGCAUUGAUGUUUAAAAUGCACCUUUAACAUUUUAUUCACUAGGGAAAGUUAUUCAAGGUGCACAUGUUUUGUAUCAGCCACGGCCCGUUUCACAUUCAUAGAGAGCUACUUUGCAUUCAUUCACACCUGGCCAAUGCAAACCAGUCCUGAACAGCUGGCUGCUGGGACAGUGAGCUGGUUGAGAUGCACCUCUGUGGUGGCUGCUGA